rnacentral:scRNA from 1 species
GGAUAAGACGUCCGGUGCAUUCGUAUCGAGCGAUGCACUGGUGUUCGAAUCCCGCCGGCAGGUACCAAUUUAUCCAAUGAAAUACGUACUCAACAAAUGUUCACAA